GGGAUUUUUGUGACCUUGUGACCUCAAGAAAGGAGUCAACUAGGACAGGGGUUAGAUGAGGAGAGGAAAUAGCCCACGAAGGGAACUAGGCCAGGAAAGAAGACUUGUUUAUCCCCAUGUUUAUCCCCAUGUAAGGAAUUAGGUGAGAGAGGAAGCUGUUUGGGUCCCAUGCUCGAUAAUGAGAAAGAGUGAGCUGGGAGAGUCACUCUCCCCCUCCCGUUAGAAUGUUCUGUUCAGAGAAGGAGUCAGGUCGGGGUGACCUAAUAGGGAAAUGUUGCUCGAGUGAGACCACGGGUUGUGCAAGAGGGACCACGGGUUGUGUAAGGACAGCCAAUUGAGGGAGGAUAUCUGUUUAUCUUGAACAAACUGUGUGUUGUCUGAUAAUGGCCAAACAUAUUUGUGUGACGUAAUAAGACUGUAUAAAAGCUCUAGUCUGUCAAUGCAUGGUAGACUUCUCUGGCUAGAGAAGCUCUGCGUGUGAUUCCAAAAUACCUGGCAAAUAAACGACGCCUUUGCAAUCAAUCUCCUGACUCCAAGCCUGUUAAUUCUUGCUUCACUAAGAACCACUUUCGAGGCUCCAACAAUUGGUGAUUACCGACGUGAUUCGCUACAUCUACAUUUAAGAAGACGCUGAUCCGGGCAUUUGGACCCCGGUUGUAUGAAAAAACUCUCCUCAGGGAGGAGUAGCGAAAAUAAACUGUUGCCAUGUAUAAAAAUAAAAAAAGGAGGAAAAAUGAGUGUGUCUCCAUUACUGUCGGCUGAAUGUUUGCCUCGUUCAACAAACAACUCAUUUACAUUUAUAUGUACAACUACAUUCACAUAGGCUAAGGACUAUACUAGGAAGAAUGUAAGCAAAUGGCAUAUGUAUAAAAACCUGGCCAGUAACACCCAUAUCUUUAAGUCUAGAUCUGCCUGUCCCAGUCCAAAACAUCAUGAGAGACCAAACGAGCCCGAAAAGGGAGGGUACGGGAGCCAUCCUACCGUCUGACCAGACCAGCCCAGCUGCUCCUCUGCGCGUGACCGCACAGGAAGUGCUCAGCCUCAAAUUCCCUCUUCUCCGAGAACGCCUCCUCGGGAUGAACAAGAAGUGGGCCAAACGCACGGCCACGAUGACAACAAACUGGCCGGAGCACGGGACAUUUGACCUAAGCCUCUGCGACCUUCUAAUUAGUACAUUUUGAAACCAUAUUAAAGCGUUUGUCGCAUAAUUUUUGUCUAUCGAAAAAUAUUCAAUUGGAAUAAAAUCGCAUGGUGACGAGACCUGCAUUCAAACUAUCA